AUGAGGACACUGAGGCCCCAGACCUCUAUGUCAGCUGCCAUAUUAAGGCAGAUGUCAUGUGCUGUGGUGAAGAUGGGAUCCGAACGCCCGGCAGCCUGGAUCCAGAUUUGGAGACUGAGACUGAGGGCUCUGGCGUCAGCGGGAGCUGGGCUGGAAUCGUCCAGAUUCUUACCUAGAAUCUUCCAGGGACCACUUACUCCUUCUGCUUCCACUGGCUCCUGGGCUGUGGGUUGGAAUAUACAGGAGAGGAAAGGGGACUUUAGGACAAGUGCCAAGAACUUUGCAGAAAUCUUCCUUGCUCAUCCUGUACAAAUCUGUGAAGCCUUCUGGGUCUCCUCCGUGCCGAGUGGCACUGAGGCCCGCUCUGCGCUGCUGGCCCUUCAGCUCCUGGCUCUGGUUCUUCUCUGGCCCCCUCUCAUGGCACAGAAGACUCUCCGGGGGUGUGCUGAGUGCAGAAAGCAAGUUGACCAUCAGCAGAGAGGGCAAGCCUUGUGACAUGUGUCAGAUGGAAGUGAUCUAACCUGACGUGCGUUUAACCAAUUUGCUGGACUCGUGGCUACCGUCCGUCCUGGCUGAGACAUACAGACACUCCCCACCAAGGCUCACUGCUUCAGCUUCUGCAGCUUCCUUCACCCUCCCAGAGCUCUGCUCCCACUGGCUGAGCUGUGAGCUACCAGAAUCAGGAGAGUUUAUCCCCAAAAUCUUUGGCUAAUUUGUGUUGAUUGCUAUAAUUAUGUAAUUUAGCUAAAUAAAACAAAGAGUGAAAUCUGACUCUGUGUGUGU
rnacentral:lncRNA from 12 species